rnacentral:rRNA from 1 species
UGAGGAAUCUUGCGCAAUGGGGGCAACCCUGACGCAGCAACGCCGCGUGGGUGAAGAAGGCCUUCGGGUUGUAAACCUCUUUUGUACGGGAAGAAGGAAGUGACGGUACUGUACGAAUAAGUCCCGGCUAACUACGUGCCAGCAGCCGCGGUAAUACGUAGGGGACGAGCGUUGUCCGGAAUUACUGGGCGUAAAGGGCGCGCAGGCUGUGCUGCAAGUCAGCUGUUAAAUGUCUGGGCUUAACCCGGGCAUGCGGUUGAGACUGCGGUGCUGGAGUGCUGUAGAGGCAAGUGGAAUUCCCAGUGUAGCGGUGAAAUGCGUAGAUAUUGGGAAGAACACCGGUGGCGAAGGCGACUUGCUGGGCAGCAACUGACGCUGAGGCGCGAAAGCCAGGGGAGCAAA